CUGCAAUUUGUGAGUUACUAUUGAAGCUGUUUUACUUUGUGAGUUACUAUCUUUGUAUGCAUUAAAAGUAGGUUUUCAUUAACUUAAACCUUCAUUCUUUUAGUUUGUAAAACCAUGAAAUGAUUGGUUUUGACUUUGUUUUUUGCCUUAUUUUCUAUCAUAUAGGAACUGCAUCCAUUUUAAUACGUGUGUGUGUGUGUGUACCUUGCAUAGAAUCUUUUUACUGACCUAAACAUGCUAGUCUUGUUAUGCUUUCAAUGAUUUGUGUAAUUUCGGUGGAUGAUAAAUAUGCAGAGUUUGUGCUGCAUAUUUGCUGGCCUUUUACUAUCAUAUAGGAACUGCAUCCAUUAGUACGUGUGUGUGUACCUUGCAUAGAAUCUUGUUACUGACCUAAACAUGCUAGUCUUGUUAUGCUUUCAAUGAUUUGUGUACUAGUUUGGUAAUUUCGAUUGUUUGACAAUAAAGGAUUUCAAGCUAUUGGUCAGUCACUAAAGUGUUUCAUGUUAGGAGACUUGUGCUGAUUAAUUAGCCAACCUGCCACUCAAUUCUCUUUUAUUAGCACGAUAUUUGUUUGGUUGCCUAUAUUUGGGUUGUAGGGCAUCUUGAAUGUCCUGCUAAUUAACUUUUCUUUGGCUUGACACAGAUCUUGUUAAGGUUCUGAGUGUGUGUAUCAUUUCGUUCAUGAAAGUACUAGCAUACUUGUGCUCUUAUCUGCCUCUUACAUUCAAUGUUGACUGUUUUCGCUGUUUGUUUUUGUUUAUGAUUGGCUGUUUGUUUUUGUUUUUGGUUUUGGUAGAAUGUUGUGGCAUAUAUCUUCCGGCCUAAUGCUGCACCACAAGUCCGUUAUAUGAUGCAAGAGAUCAUGUUCUAUAUACGGUCACCAACACGUUUGACCACGUACGGGUACACAUAUGGUGUUUCUCAAGUAUUAUAUGGGCGAGUCUUUGACCACUGGAACUUGCAUUGCCGUGUACCAGAGGUACCUCUAUGAUCAGUUGAAGGCAUAUAAAAUGGUGGACAUGGUUGCAUUUGUUGACCCUUCACUUAUUGGUGUUGUGGGCUGUGGGAAUGGAACUGUCAAAAGAUAGGCUUGUUGCUGGUCCUUUUUUG